rnacentral:rRNA from 1 species
GUGGGGAAUUUUGGACAAUGGGCGCAAGCCUGAUCCAGCAAUGCCGCGUGCAGGAAGAAGGCCUUCGGGUUGUAAACUGCUUUUGUACGGAACGAAAAGGCUCUGGUUAAUACCUGGGGCUCAUGACGGUACCGUAAGAAUAAGCACCGGCUAACUACGUGCCAGCAGCCGCGGUAAUACGUAGGGUGCAAGCGUUAAUCGGAAUUACUGGGCGUAAAGCGUGCGCAGGCGGCUUUGUAAGACAGACGUGAAAUCCCCGGGCACAAGCUGGGAAUGGCGUUUGUGACUGCAAAGCUGGAGUGCGGCAGAGGGGGAUGGAGUUCCGCGUGUAGCAGUGAAAUGCGUAGAUAUGCGGAGGAACACCGAUGGCGAAGGCAAUCCCCUGUGCCUGCACUGACGCUCAUGCACGAAAGCGUGGGGAGCAAACAGGAUUAGAAACCCGUGUAGUCC